rnacentral:rRNA from 1 species
UACAGAGGUCCCAAGCGUUGUUCGGAUUCAUUGGGCGUAAAGGGUGCGUAGGCGGCGCGGUAAGUCGGGUGUGAAAUCUCGGAGCUUAACUCCGAAACUGCAUUCGAUACUGCCGUGCUUGAGGACUGGAGAGGAGACUGGAAUUUACGGUGUAGCGGUGAAAUGCGUAGAUAUCGGAAGGAAGACCAGUGGCGAAGGCGGGUCUCUGGACAGUUCCUGACGCUGAGGCACGAAAGCUAGGGGAGCAAACAGG